GACGAACGCUGGCGGCGUGCCUAAUACAUGCAAGUAGAACGCUGAAGAGAGGAGCUUGCUCUUCUUGGAUGAGUUGCGAACGGGUGAGUAACGCGUAGGUAACCUGCCUGGUAGCGGGGGAUAACUAUUGGAAACGAUAGCUAAUACCGCAUAAUAGUAGAUGUUGCAUGACAUUUGCUUAAAAGGUGCAAUUGCAUCACUACCAGAUGGACCUGCGUUGUAUUAGCUAGUUGGUGAGGUAACGGCUCACCAAGGCAACGAUACAUAGCCGACCUGAGAGGGUGAUCGGCCACACUGGGACUGAGACACGGCCCAGACUCCUACGGGGGGCAGCAGUAGGGAAUCUUCGGCAAUGGACGGAAGUCUGACCGAGCAACGCCGCGUGAGUGAAGAAGGUUUUCGGAUCGUAAAGCUCUGUUGUAAGAGAAGAACGAGUGUGAGAGUGGAAAGUUCACACUGUGACGGUAUCUUACCAGAAAGGGACGGCUAACUACGUGCCAGCAGCCGCGGUAAUACGUAGGUCCCGAGCGUUGUCCGGAUUUAUUGGGCGUAAAGCGAGCGCAGGGCGGUUAGAUAAGUCUGAAGUUAAAGGCUGUGGCUUAACCAUAGUACGCUUUGGAAACUGUUUAACUUGAGUGCAAGAGGGGAGAGUGGAAUUCCAUGUGUAGCGGUGAAAUGCGUAGAUAUAUGGAGGAACACCGGUGGCGAAAGCGGCUCUCUGGCUUGUAACUGACGCUGAGGCUCGAAAGCGUGGGGAGCAAACAGGAUUAGAUACCCUGGUAGUCCACGCCGUAAACGAUGAGUGCUAGGUGUUAGACCCUUUCCGGGGUUUAGUGCCGCAGCUAACGCAUUAAGCACUCCGCCUGGGGAGUACGACCGCAAGGUUGAAACUCAAAGGAAUUGACGGGGGCCCGCACAAGCGGUGGGGCAUGUGGUUUAAUUCGAAGCAACGCGAAGAACCUUACCAGGUCUUGACAUCCCUCUGACCGCUCUAGAGAUAGAGCUUUCCUUCGGGACAGAGGUGACAGGUGGUGCAUGGUUGUCGUCAGCUCGUGUCGUGAGAUGUUGGGUUAAGUCCCGCAACGAGCGCAACCCCUAUUGUUAGUUGCCAUCAUUCAGUUGGGCACUCUAGCGAGACUGCCGGUAAUAAACCGGAGGAAGGUGGGGAUGACGUCAAAUCAUCAUGCCCCUUAUGACCUGGGCUACACACGUGCUACAAUGGCUGGUACAACGAGUCGCAAGCCGGUGACGGCAAGCUAAUCUCUUAAAGCCAGUCUCAGUUCGGAUUGUAGGCUGCAACUCGCCUACAUGAAGUCGGAAUCGCUAGUAAUCGCGGAUCAGCACGCCGCGGUAAAUACGUUCCCGGGCCU
rnacentral:rRNA from 1 species